AUGUUUAUUCUAAUAAAGACCUUGAUGUUUCUAGUAUAACUGAGAAUUUUUUCAGUUCAAAUCAUUUUUGUUUUCUUGUAAAAUACAUGGGAUUUUAACAGCAAACCACUAAGGCUUUGGUCCUGGGAAUCAUUGUACCAUAUGGAGGAGGCAGAGCAAGGUGGUUGCACUCCAGGUAUUUCACUGACUAAUAAUCCAGAAGAUAAGAAAUUGCUCACCUUGUUUAUGAGCUUGGGGAAACUGAAAUGUGCAGAUACCUGAAUUCCUGAAAAUAUCUGCAACAUCUUUCUUUGACCCAUAUAUUAUUUUAUUUCAGUGAUAUUGUGAUUGACUGUAAAGGCUCACAUGCAGAUGUGGAGGACAGAAGGAACUACUGGACAACAAAAGGCCAUUUGGUCCAACAUACUAUUUAUUCUAUUCAUAUUUACUUUAACCCCUUUUCUCUUCUCCUUUUUCAAUGUACCUUCAGUUCUCUCUCUCUCUCUUCCCCAUAAAAUGUCUUGCUACCUGUUAAACUCACUUAUGUUAUUUUCUUUCAUGGUCUUCCUUGACAACUAAUUUCAUAUGUUCCUUUAUGAACACCAUGUUGCUUUUUCACAUGUAUGACAAUAAUAAACAACGGCAAUUAUAUUUUUCAAUUAAAUGUACUGUCCCUCUGGCCUUCCUGGU